AGUGAACGCUGGCGGCAGGCCUAACACAUGCAAGUCGAACGAGUGGCGGACGGGUGAGUAAUGUCUGGGAAACUGCCUGAUGGAGGGGGAUAACUACUGGAAACGGUAGCUAAUACCGCAUACCAUCAGAUGUGCCCAGAUGGGAUUUGCUAGAUGGGGGGGUAACGGCCAACCAAGGCGAAGAUCCCUUGAUGGUCUGAGAGGAUGACCAGCCACACUGGAACUGAGAAACGGUACAGACUCCUACGGGAGGAAGCAGUGGUGAAUAGUGCACAAGGGGCGCAAGCCUGAUGCAGCCAUGCCGCGUGUAUGAAGAAGGCCUUCGGGUUGUAAAGUACGUUCAGCGGGGAGGCGUUACCCGCAGAAGAAGCACCGGCUAACUCCGUGCCAGCAGCCGCGGUAAUAC
rnacentral:rRNA from 1 species